rnacentral:rRNA from 1 species
AUGGCGACUCUCCUCCGCCGAUCCGCCGCCCCCGCGCGGCAUCUUCUCCUCCUUCCCCGCCAGCUCGGCGCCGCCCGGUCCAUGUCCCGCUACUACGCCCGUGACGAGGUUUCACGGUUCGACGCGCUGAGCACGCCGGUGAACUGGGGCGUGAGCAUCGUGCCGGAGAAGAAGGCCUUCGUGAUUGAGCGCUUCGGCAAGUAUCUCAAGACGCUCGACUCCGGGAUCCACGGGCUCGUCCCCCUCGUCGACCGCAUCGCCUACGUGCACUCUCUCAAGGAGGAAGCCAUCCCCAUCCCCGACCAGUCCGCUAUCACCAAGGAUAACGUGGUCAUCCAGAUCGACGGCGUCCUCUACGUCAAGAUUGUUGAUCCCUACCGUGCUUCAUAUGGCGUGGAGAAUCCCAUUUUUGCAGUCAUUCAACUUGCGCAGACAACUAUGAGAAGUGAGCUUGGAAAGAUAACCUUGGACAAGACUUUUGAAGAGAGGGACACAUUGAAUGAGAAGAUUGUGAGGUCCAUAAAUGAGGCUUCGACAGACUGGGGCUUGAAGUGUCUUCGUUAUGAGAUCAGGGACAUUUCUCCUCCACCGGGCGUGAAGAAUGCUAUGGAGAUGCAAGCAGAGGCAGAAAGGAGAAAGCGUGCUCAAAUUCUCCAGUCAGAAGGGGCUAUGUUGGAUCAGGCAAACCGCGCCAAGGGUGAGGCUGAAGCGAUUCUUUCCAAGUCACAAGCUACGGCCGAAGGGAUUAGAAUGGUCUCAGAGUCCAUGAGAGCUGAAGGCAGUGCUGAGGCUGCAAAACUGAGAAUUGCUGAACAGUACAUCACAGCAUUUGCUGCUCUGGCCAAGAAUACCACGACAAUGCUUCUUCCAAGCGAUGCUGGCAACCCAUCAUCUAUGAUAGCCCAGUCUCUCCAGAUAUACAAGCAUAUAAGCCAGUCCAGCAGCCUGAAAGGAGGGAACCAACAGGCAGAAGAAGUUGAGGAAGCAGGACCGCAAGAAGAGGGCGAUACGUUCGGCCUGCCUUCUGUGACCAGCGCGAUGCCACCCAGCACGCAAACAGGCCAUGGCAGCACGUUCUCCCUGCAGAAGCGUAAAGAAUGA